GAUCUUGGAUUUUUUAGAGGUGAUCUUAGAGGCGUUCUUCAUCUGGAAUGAAAGGCUGAUGAAGAAGACAGCAACCAGACUGAUUUCGUCAAGGGCCUUCGAUCGAGUCCAGAAGUCUGCAGAUUUGUUCGUUGCUAGUUCUGCUGCACCCAAGGUCCGUGGGAGGAGCCAGGAUUGUGCUCCAAAAAGAAUUUUAUACUUUCACCAAAAUAGAAAAGUGACAAGUUGGUGUUCUUCAUGAGACUCCAAGGUAGAAGUCCUC
rnacentral:lncRNA from 1 species